GAUCUGCAAACACAGAGAAACCACAUCCUGAACACACCGGCAGCGUGGCGUCAUCAAGUUCUGAGUAAUGAGCAGGAAGUUCUACAGUGCUGUUCCAGGCCAUGGAGAUGUACAGUCAGCUUCUAAGGAGAGCUGCCAUGGUACCUUCUCAGAGCGGAAACCAGAAUUUCAUCAGAAGAACAUUCAGCUGUACAGAAGGGCCGGCAAUGACAGACAGAGGGUACAAUAAAGAAACUGAAUGUGCCAGAUGAUCGGAAAUGUAUGAGGAAAUUCACCGGACCGAUUCUGGUUGUGCUGCACCAUAAGCGCAGGCAUAAUACACGCCACUAGAGGGCUCUACGGCACAGCAAACAAGGUACAGUUGGGAGAACGUUUGGAUUCAUUUCUGCAUGCACAGCUCCUAAAAUGUGAAGUGAUUUUCAAGUAAUGGUAAAGAUACGCAACACAUACAUUUUACAUAGCCAUCGAGGAACAAAAAAAAUGUUUAAACAAUCACUGUCAUUAAUGGAAAAAGCAUCUGAAUCUCAACAUUUAGGAACUACUGGAACCUCCUUUAUUGCCAGUGACCUCAACCAAAGGCUUUCUGUAGCUGCUGAACAGUUAGUAAGUAUUCUGGCCCAUACAAAACAGUUUGAGUAUAUAUACUCAAUCUUUGGGGAUGUUUCACCUUAAUUGCCUGCUUCAGAUCGAAUUACAGCAGAGUGUCAGCACUCUUAUUUGGCCAUGUUAACGAAUUCCCUCUGAAUCACACCAUUUCGGAAUCACUCCCGUGUUUUUGAUCAUUGUCAUGUUAUGUAUCCCAGCUUCCAUUUUCUAGAUUAUAGUCAGAUACCUUUAAAUUCUUAAUACAAUGUCUGUAGGAAGCAUAACCCCUGACAUAGGAACCCUGACCGCAGGAAGAUGGAUGCAACAUAGUUUUUCCUUUUAUAAUUUAAAGGCGUCCAGCACCUGUGGCAGCAGAGCAGCCUUCUCGCCGUUCUUCACCACGCUGCUCAGUCUGAAUACGUUUUUGUCUCAGGGUAAGCAGGUUUUUGUGUUCUCUAAAAAUAAUGCCUUUGUACCUUUACCAGGUAGUUCAGUAUUUAUCUCAAUCCAGAACAUUGCUCCUGCCAUACUAGGGAAUACUCGGGUGGUCAUCGGCAAAUUCAAGAAAGGUAGCAGUGGUUCUGUGAAUGCAGUGGCUCCUUUACUGGCCUCCUCCCAUGAACACGGCUCUGACUCAUGACACAGGCAUUGUUACGGGUUCGACAUCCUUGUCUGCUGUUCAGGGGACACCCACUUGUAGAGAGAUUAGCAACAGUGCUGAAUUUCUUCCAAUUGUAAACCAUCUGCCUGACUAUGAUGGGAUGGUGAGCAAAGUCUUCAAAAAUCUUCUAUAUCCCCUUCCAGUCUUUUGAGUCCUUCUACUGAAGCCCUCUUUUGACUGAGCCAUAUUGAACUGUUGUGAGCAGGCAACCAAUCCUGGUCUGUGUUUUUUCUUCUUCUUUUCUUAUUAUUUAUUAUUAAAAAUCCACAUGUGAAAUGACCAGAACAUCUGACUACAAGAGGUUAACAUCUUCACAUACAUUUCCCAAUGACCUUGAAUUUUUGAGCCAUCUAUCCCAAUGUGAAGUCUAAAUGAAAAUAAGAUCAUAUUUUCAGAUCCAUUCACGCAGAAAUGUACACAGCUCCAAAGGCUUCACACCCUUUUUCUGUACAAUUGCAGAUGAUGCGAUCCAUAAACUACUCUGGGUGGAGCAUAUUUUUGGGAAAUACGUCAUCUUGUUACCUUUACAUGGCUUACAAAUCUCUUUAGAAUCGACACUCAGACUCUGCCAGCCACCCUGUGGAGAUAAUCUUCUAUUUCUAGCCAAGGACAUUAAUCAUACAUCUUGUUAAAGGUCUGAUACUAUUAUCAGUAAGACCAGAUCAAUUUUCAGAGUAUGGUAAUGUAUCACAAUUUGUUGUUGCACUUUGGAUGUCAAAGGCGCAAGCUCAAGAAAAUGCAUACUUCUCUUCUUAUGGGCCCUUACACAAAAUAACACAUUCCUUGUGCACAUGGACUAAGCUAAUAUAUCCUCAUCAUCACUGCAGAUUUUCAUGACCAUGUUAACACUAGCAUGAAUACCACCGUUUUUCAUUGAGCCUCAGGCCCUGACAGAACAGAUAAAAUCGCAGGUAUUUGGAGCUGCACCCAGUAACUAGCUUCUGUAGUUCGCUGGCCUGCAGACACCUGUCAUACAUUUUACAGUUACAUGAGUCAUCCCCAGGACAGAGGAACAGGCCCUCUUCGAACGUAAUAUGCUAUAAAAUAUAAGUUCUGAAUUCUGUAAGGCGUAUUUGCAGUCUGUAAGGGUUCAUCACAGCAAACCCUGUCCACGUACUGAGUCAUCCUACGAUUAGCAAGCUUUGGGAACAAAGUGUCCCGGCAGGUUCCCGAACCUACACGAGUUUUUGUUAUGUUCAAUCUUGAGUAUUAUCGAAGUGCCAACAAUUACUUUCAUACUUCAGAAAUGGAAAGACAAUCUCCAUUGUGAACAAAACGGAUCUUACCGAAUAUAUGGACUGGCGGCAGCUAAUAUAUUUUUCUGCACCGGGAUCUCCUCGCCGUCCAGAACCAGAACGGCAUCUUGAAAACACUGGUCCUGCCAGAAGGACCGAAGGGCACGGAGCAGCUUUUUGGAGUGCUGCGGGUCCGCCACGACAGAACCAGCAACAGCAAGAUCUGACCCGGCGUCCGACGUCGUGUGAGGUCUGUAAAAUUAAGGUAUGAGUAGGAUCAUUUAGAAAAGUUACAGCACAGAAACAUCGCCACUAAUUUUAGCAAGCAAGCGAAUGAUAUGCAAGAGCCAGUUCUGCUGAUAGUAAUUUAAGUAAUAUUGGGUGGAGCAUAUUUUUGGGAAAUGCAAGACAAAAUAGCAGCGCACAUGCUUUAAAAUCUUUUCCCAAACUCAAAUAAAAAUCCCUUACUGCUGCGUGCCCGAACCUGGCUCUCUUUUCGAGGGUCGACAACAAGCCAUGAUGUGCUUCGCCGCCGUUCCGGGAGUAACAACAGACUCGCUUGUUUUUCCCUAAACGUCAUUUUCCGGCGCCUAAAAGUCCCUGGAAGAUGACGCUAAAUAGGAGCGCGCUGUACAUGGGUUGUAUCUUUCUGGCAUGUUUUUCAGUGUAAAAAUUAAUUUGGAUUGUAACCUUAAGAUGUAAGCUGUUAUAUUCGUUUAUGUUUAGCUUUAUAUCACUCAUUGUAUUGCUGUACAAUAAAGGAACACCUUUAUAGUGA